rnacentral:lncRNA from 1 species
AACGCAUCCUUUUGAGUGUGCCAUACAAACCCUUGUCAUGGCUCCGUUUUAUUGAUGACAUUGACAUGAAAUGGAACGAUACUGCAGAACAUUUGCAAGAUUUCUUAGAUCAUUGUAAUCAGUUCCAUCACUCAAUUAAAUUUACAUCUGAAUUUUCAAGCCAGAAAAUUGCUUUUCUGGACACCACCACAUUUGUAAAAAACGGGGUCAUGACAACUGAUCUUCACACAAAGAAAACUGAUAAACACCAGUUCCUUUCUCCAAAAAAUUGUCACCCGAAACACUGCUCCAGGAGUAUACCUUACAGUCAAGCAAUCAGACCAAAGCGAAUUUGCUCCUCGGAAUCCAAACUUAACUAUCGUUUGGGACAACUAAAAACACAGCUGAAAUCAAGAGGAUACAAAACCAAAAACAUCACAGACGCUUUUGAUAAAGCCCAAGAAAAAGAUCGAGCUAGCCUCAUGGAAUACAAAGAUAAGACGACCCGUGAAGAUAGAAUUCCGUUUGUUGUAACCUUCCAUCCCGAUUUGACAAAUGUUUCAUCUACUAUCCGAAAGCACUGGCG